rnacentral:rRNA from 1 species
CCCUUAGAUGUUCUGGGCCGCACGCGCGCUACACUGACGAAGUCAGCGAGCAUGUCCUACGCCGACAGGUGCGGGGAAUCUUGUCAAACUUCGUCGUGAUGGGGAUUGAUUAUUGAAAUUCUUGAUCAUCAACGAGGAAUUCCUAGUAAGCGCAAGUCAGCAGCUUGCGUUGAUUACGUCCCUGCCCUUUGUACACACCGCCCGUCGCUACUACCGAUUGAAUGGUCCGGUGAAGCCUCGGGAUUGUGGUUCUUGCCGCUUUAUUGUGGCGUGACCGCGAGAACUUGUCUAAACCUUAUCAUCUAGAGGAAGGUGAAGUCGUAACA